GAUGAAGAACGCAGCGAAAUGCGAUACGUAAUGUGAAUUGCAGAAUUCAGUGAAUCAUCGAGUCUUUGAACGCACAUUGCGCCCCCUGGUAUUCCGGGGGGCAUGCCUGUCCGAGCGUCAUUGCUGCCCUCAAGCACGGCUUGUGUGUUGGGCCUCCGCCCCCCGGCUCCCGGGGGGCGGGCCCGAAAGGCAGCGGCGGCACCGCGUCCGGUCCUCGAGCGUAUGGGGCUUCGUCACCCGCUCUGUAGGCCCGGCCGGCGCCCGCCGGCGACCCCAAUCAAUCUUUCCAGGUUGACCUCGGAUCAGGUAGGGAUACCCGCUGAACUUAAGCAUAUCAAUAAGCGGAGGA
rnacentral:misc_RNA from 1 species